rnacentral:rRNA from 2 species
UACGAAGGGUGCAAACGUUGCUCGGAAUCAUUGGGCGUAAAGCGCACGUAGGCGGCUUCGCAAGUCGGAUGUGAAAUCCCGUGGCUCAACCAUGGACGUGCAUUCGAAACUGCGAAGCUUGAGUAUGGAAGAGGGUCGCGGAAUUCCCGGUGUAGAGGUGAAAUUCGUAGAUAUCGGGAGGAACACCAGUGGCGAAGGCGGCGACCUGGGCCAAUACUGACGCUGAGGUGCGAAAGCGUGGGGAGCAAACAGG